GUGCUGGUGGUGUAGGGGUUAAGCGCGCGACCAUUUGCAGGGGCUAUAAUCCUUGAUGUGGCUGUCCCGGGUUCAAGUCCCGGAGCUGGCGACC